AUCUGGCUAUUAGUGGGGGACAACAUUCCUAAAGGGAUGCUAAUACCGCAUACGUCCUACGGGAGAAAGCAGGGGAUCUUCGGACCUUGCGCUAAUAGAUGAGCCUAAGUCGGAUUAGCUAGUUGGUGGGGUAAAGGCCUACCAAGGCGACGAUCUGUAGCGGGUCUGAGAGGAUGAUCCGCCACACUGGGACUGAGACACGGCCCAGACUCCUACGGGAGGCAGCAGUGGGGAAUAUUGGACAAUGGGGGGAACCCUGAUCCAGCCAUGCCGCGUGUGUGAAGAAGGCCUUAUGGUUGUAAAGCACUUUAAGCGAGGAGGAGGGUACUGGUAUUAAUACUACCAGGUACUGGACGUUACUCGCAGAAUAAGCACCGGCUAACUCUGUGCCAGCAGCCGCGGUAAUACAGAGGGUGCGAGCGUUAAUCGGAUUUACUGGGCGUAAAGCGUGCGUAGGCGGCUAAUUGAGUCGGAUGUGAAAUCCCCGAGCUUAACUUGGGAAUUGCAUUCGAUACUGGUUAGCUAGAGUGUGGGAGAGGAUGGUAGAAUUCCAGGUGUAGCGGUGAAAUGCGUAGAGAUCUGGAGGAAUACCGAUGGCGAAGGCAGCCAUCUGGCCUAACACUGACGCUGAGGUACGAAAGCAUGGGGAGCAAACAGGAUUAGAUACCCUGGUAGUCCAUGCCGUAAACGAUGUCUACUAGCCGUUGGUCUCUUUGAGGGAUUAGUGGCGCAGCUAACGCGAUAA
rnacentral:rRNA from 1 species